rnacentral:tRNA from 1 species
GCUCGGGUGGUGGAAUUGGUAGACACGUACGCUUGAGGUGCGUAUGGAGUAAUCCGUGGGGGUUCAAGUCCCCCCUCGAGUA